rnacentral:rRNA from 1 species
GAUGAACGCUGGCGGCGUGCCUAAUACAUGCAAGUCGAGCGAAUGGAUUAAGAGCUUGCUCUUAUGAAGUUAGCGGCGGACGGGUGAGUAACACGUGGGUAACCUGCCCAUAAGACUGGAUAACUCCGGGAAACCGGGGCUAAUACCGGAUAACAUUUUGAACCGCCUGGUUCGAAAUGGAAAGGCGGCUUCGGCUGGCACUUAUGGAUGGACCCGCGUCGCAUUCGCUAGUUGGUGAGGUAACGGCUCACCAAGGCAACGAUGCGUAGCCGACCUGAGAGGGUGAUCGGCCACACUGGGACUGAGACACGGCCCAGACUCCUACGGGAGGCAGCAGUAGGGAAUCUUCCGCAAUGGACGAAAGUCUGACGGAGCAACGCCGCGUGAGUGAUGAAGGCUUUCGGGUCGUAAAACUCUGUUGUUAGGGAAGAACAAGUGCUAGUUGAAUAAGCUGACACCUUGACGGUACCUAACCAGAAAGCCACGGCUAACUACGUGCCAGCCGCCGCAGUAA